rnacentral:lncRNA from 1 species
GUGAUCAGCUUGUAGACAGGGACGUGUUGUUGCUUGCCGAAGAAUUGACAUCCUUGGCAUCAACGGACUAGUUCUUCGGCGUUAGCAAGAGCUGUAGGCCAAUAGAACCCUACUCUGAAAGCUUUACUCACGAUCGUUCGUGAAGAUGCGUGAUUGCCGCAGAUGCCUUUGUGGAUCUCCUCUAGUAUGUCCUUUCCGUCUUGUCACGAGACGC